rnacentral:rRNA from 1 species
AUUGAACGCUGGCGGAAUGCUUUACACAUGCAAGUCGAACGGCAGCACGGGGGCAACCCUGGUGGCGAGUGGCGAACGGGUGAGUAAUACAUCGGAACGUGCCCGGUCGUGGGGGAUAACGUAGCGAAAGUUACGCUAAUACCGCAUACGAUCUGAGGAUGAAAGCGGGGGACCUUCGGGCCUCGCGCGAUCGGAGCGGCCGAUGUCAGAUUAGGUAGUUGGUGGGGUAAAGGCCUACCAAGCCGACGAUCUGUAGCUGGUCUGAGAGGACGACCAGCAACACUGGGACUGAGACACGGCCCAGACUCCUACGGGAGGCAGCAGUGGGGAAUUUUGGACAAUGGGCGCAAGCCUGAUCCAGCCAUUCCGCGUGCAGGACGAAGGCCUUCGGGUUGUAAACUGCUUUUGUAUGGAACGAAAAGGCUCUGGCUAAUACCUGGGGCUCAUGACGGUACCGUAAGAAUAAGCACCGGCUAGCUACGUG